GGAUGUGAGGGUGAUCUGGCUGUGACAUCUGUCACCCUAUUGAUCGCCAGGGUUGAUUCGGCUGAUCUGGCUGGCUAGGCGGGUGUCACCUUCCUCCCUCACCUCUCCAUGUUUGUCCCUCCCGAAGCUGCGCGCUUGGUCGAAGAGGAUGCCUUCCCUGAAUAGAGAUGGACCAGCCUUUGGUCGAAGGUAUACGAGUAGCUGCACUCCCCUGCUCCAAACAAAAUGUUGGGGCAAAUUGCCCCUUCUGAAAACUGUGAAGAAUGUAUGUGUUUCAGUUUCCUGACUCAUAACUGGGUGGUCAUCUUCAUAUUCAAAUGACGCUAUUU
ensembl:misc_RNA 7SK 7SK RNA